UUCCGUGAACACUCCCAGGCU
rnacentral:piRNA from 1 species